UACAGAGGGUGCGAGCGUUGUCCGGAAUCACUGGGCGUAAAGGGCGCGUAGGUGGCGACCCAAGUCUGUGGUGAAAGCUCGCCGCUUAACGGCGAGUCGGCCACGGAUACUGGGUGGCUCGAGCACUGUAGGGGCAGAUGGAAUUCCGGGUGUAGCGGUGAAAUUCGUAGAUAUUCGCAAGAACACCAGUGGCGAAGGCGGCUCACUGGCCCGGUACUGACGCUGAGGUGCGAAAGCGUGGGGAGCAAACAGG
rnacentral:rRNA from 1 species